GUCAGGAUGGCCGAGUGGUCUAAGGUGCCAGACUCAAGGUUCUUUCCUUUCCUUUCCUUCACCUGGGGAUUUCUGGUCUCCGAAUGGAGGUGUGGGUUCAGAUCCCACUUCUGACA
rnacentral:tRNA from 1 species